GUCGGCUGCCCUCGCCGCCGCCCCCUGGGCCGGGAUCACGGCGGCGGCGGCGGCUCCUCCUCCCGCUGCCGCCACUGCGCGCUCAGAAGUUCCAUAUGGGAUUCUUCAAGUAACAUCUGCAUUAUGUAUACCGUUACAAAAUUUACAGCACUAUUCUAAAAAAUUAUGUAACCACACUCUAAUAUAUGAACAAGAAGACACUUGCAGGAACUCAAAUCUCUGGUUUAGAGAGAGAAGAAACUCAUCCUUGCUGUACUGAGCUAUACAGAAUCAAUGGGAAGCAGUGAAUAUUGGCUAAAUGACACAUUGUGCAAUGUAUUGUUUUUUCCUGGUUUGUUGAAUAAUUCUUAAUACCUGAAUUCAGGAACCCCAAGGGUUCCUAACCCUAAGGCAUAAACUUUGGUUUUACUACUAACAGUGAAGGGUUUAUACAAUAUGGUAUAACUCAAAACCAAACAAACCUCAUGAUGCAAGGAUA